rnacentral:rRNA from 1 species
CAGUAGCCGCGGUAAUACGAAGGGUGCAAGCGUUAAUCGGAGUUACUGGGCGUAAAGCGUGCGCAGGCGGUUUUGUAAGACAGGCGUGAAAUCCCCGGGCUCAACCUGGGAAUGGCGCUUGUGACUGCAAAGCUAGAGUGCGGCAGAGGGGGAUGGAAUUCCGCGUGUAGCAGUGAAAUGCGUAGAUAUGCGGAGGAACACCGAUGGCGAAGGCAAUCCCCUGGGCCUGCACUGACGCUCAUGCACGAAAGCGUGGGGAGCAAACAGGAUUAGAUACCCCGGUAGUCCCUGUCUCUUAUAC